ensembl:lncRNA
AUGCACCGAGAGAGAGAGAGAGAGAGAGAGAGAGAGAGAGAGAGAGAGAGAGAGAAUGGUGUACUGUGGAGCUUGGGCAAAGAGAGAUACACAUACAGGGCUGAGUAUACGAAUAUCUUUAUUGGAGCAUUGUGUUCAGAUGCAUUGUGUGAUGUGAAGUUAACACACAUUGAAGAUCUGCUAGGAUUGCAGGAAGGAGAUCGUACUGCCAGUUGUGUUGGAUGUCGGUUAUCUGGAAGAGAAGUGGAAAGAUCCAGUGUAAAUGAAAGUGAUUGGUGGGUGAGCCGGAACCAGCGAAAAAGGAGUCUGGUGCCUUGUCGUGGCUGUGACGUUUCCUCUGGCCGUCUGCUGCAUCGGUGCCCCCAACGUCCAGGAACUAAUCCCCGGUCCUAUGUGGUUUUGACCCUAAUUCACUGUGAGUGUGUGUGGAGUGCAGUGGGCUGGGAGAGAAAACCCUGUGGGGAAGAACGUGCACCGGUGUUGUGAGACGACCGUCUUUUAGAUGCGUGCCCGCUCGUGGCUUUGGACCCCUACUCCGCCGAGUGGUGACGUGUCAACAAUAGCAAGUAAGGAACAGUGUGCAUAUUGUGGGGGACGACGACUGAGAGAAGUGUUUGCUGCUAUAUGAACAUCCAGCUGUGUAGCCCUUGUGUAUGAAUACCUGUUUGUGGAGUGCCUUCAGAGGUUCACCCCUGUUUAGAUCUCUGGUCCGUUGUCUGGAAGAGAGGAGAGGGAAGCGUUCGAGUCAUUCCUGAGGUACAUAGCCGGUGGCACAAACCUACCUGAAGUCACCCAGCGUGGUGGCACCAGCUGAGGCCGUGGAAGGCCCAACGUGCAGCAACUUCAAUCUGUACUUCUAUCUACUCUUGGUCAAAUUCGAGAGGUGGUGUGUCUUUCUCCAUAUAUUCACUGAAGCUAAGUAAAUUUGUGAAGGAACUCUGUCUGUCUGUUACCAGUCCUACAGGUCUGAGCUUGAGGCUCUGAGUCGUCGUGGGAGUGUUUCCACGGUUGGAGGUGACCGUGUUGAGUGUUGGUCUGGGAAGUCUGCCCCAUAGACCACAGUUGUCGUGACAUAUAUAUAUACACCUUCUCUAGACUCCCGAGCUGAAAAGGGCUAAAGCCUGACGUCCACCUCUUCGAGGGUCUGUGAGUUGUAUCCAUUCAGUAUUGUCAUUGUAUACCCACCUGCAUGGCGAACUGUCAGGUACGCACCCCACCCAAUUCAUCAGAAUACUUACCACCUUUACUCUGCGUGCAGUGACUGGAAGAGGCCCACCGAUGGUUCUCCUGCAGGAGAAACACAAAGGCACUACUGAGAAAAACCCUGAGUCACGUGAAGGACAGGACACAAAUUACCUACAGGCUUACCUGAGAGUCCCUGUGACAGAGUCAGAAGCGACUCGGACCUAUACUCUCUGGCCCCGAGAGUGGAUUUUAGAUUCCCUUUUCCCUUCCCUUCACACCUUUUAAAUUUAAAUAAAGUUUGUUUUAAUUAUUCUCUCUCGUUCUCUCUCUCGUUCUCUCUCGUUCUCUCUCUCUCUCUCUCUCUCGUUCUCUCUCUCUCUCUCUCGUGUGUCUGGUCAUUGGGGUGUUCUUGAGACCUCCUCGAGGUGGAAACUAGGGAGGGGCGAGACUCACGACAUCUGUGGUCCGCUCCGACCUGUGACACUGUUAAGGCUUUAUCAUACUUCAAAUCAGAAAAACAGAGGUGAAUAAAACCGGAAUACAUGGGCUUUAGUAUGUUCCUUAGGGUCCAAAUGAUGGUCCCUUGCUUCAGGAAAGUUGGCCCAUGUUUUCAAAACCCAUUGAAAUCAUUUUUAUUAUGAUUACUUUUUUUUUUUUUUUUUUUUUUAUAGAAACAUGUCAUUUAGUCCCUAAUAUAUGCGAUGACGUCACGACACUCCACAGAGGUAAGCGUGUUUAUAUGAGCUUCUUUAAAACGUCGAGUUCGACAGAACAAUGUGUUCUGAUUUGUGCUCAUAAUAGUCGCUAAUGAUAAUUGACCGAAAGUGGCUUUUAAAAAUGCAGAUUAACAAAGUUAUUGAACGUGGAAGUCCGAAUGGGCGAAUACCAACUUUAUCCAAGUGGAUAUACAUUUUUAUUUAGGUAAGGAAAUGUUGUUUGUUUUCCAUUUGAUUUUUUGUAUUUAUGUUAUAUCCUUGAGUAUAAUGCAAAAUUGUGCUUUCGUCAUUGUUUACACACACACUCGCAGUGGAUUGAUUUUUGUUUAGUGAAAAAGGCAAAGAUUUUCUAUCAGUUUUUAUUGCCAAGCGUUAUGUGGGCUGUAAUUAAACACGAGUUCACAUUAGAUGUCUUGCAAUCUUGUCAGCAGAUAAAUGCUGCGAGUAACACGUUAUAGAAAUGUAGGCUAUUGUAAACUUAAAUGUUGAAUAGUUAACCGCAGGAAGUUUGUUUACAAAAACUAACGGUAAAUAUUUUUCAUCAUUCAUUAUGAUUAUCUACAGUAUUGUUCAAAAUAAUAGCAGUACAAUGUGACUAACCAGAAUAAUCAAGGUUUUUAGUAUAUUUUUUAUUGCCACGUGGCAAACAAGUUACCAGUAGGUUCAGUAGAUUGUCAGAAAACAAACAAGACCCAGCAUUCAUGAUAUGCACGCUCUUAAGGCUGUGCAAUUGGGCAAUUAGUUGAAAGGGGUGUGUUCAAAAAAAUAGCAGUGUCUACCUUUGACUGUACAAACUCAAAACUAUUUUGUACAAACAUUUUUUUUUCCUGGGAUUUAGCAAUCCUGUGAAUCACUAAACUAAUAUUUAGUUGUAUGACCACAGUUUUUUAAAACUGCUUGACAUCUGUGUGGCAUGGAGUCAACCAACUUGUGGCACCUCUCAGCUGUUAUUCCACUCCAUGAUUCUUUAACAACAUUCCACAAUUCAUUCACAUUUCUUGGUUUUGCUUCAGAAACAGCAUUUUUGAUAUCACCCCACAAGUUCUCAAUUGGAUUAAGGUCUGGAGAUUGGGCUGGCCACUCCAUAACAUUAAUUUUGUUGGUUUGGAACCAAAACUUUGCCCGUUUACUAGUGUGUUUUGGGUCAUUGUCUUGUUGAAACAACCAUUUCAAGGGCAUGUCCUCUUCAGCAUAGGGCAACAUGACCUCUUCAAGUAUUUUAACAUAUGCAAACUGAUCCAUGAUCCCUGGUAUGCGAUAAAUAGGCCCAACACCAUAGUAGGAGAAACAUGCCCAUAUCAUGAUGCUUGCACCUCCAUGUUUCACUGUCUUCACUGUGUACUGUGGCUUGAAUUCAGAGUUUGGGGGUCGUCUCACAAACUGCCUGUGGCCCUUGGACCCAAAAAGAACAAUUUUACUCUCAUCAGUCCACAAAAUGUUCCUCCAUUUCUCUUUAGGCCAGUUGAUGUGUUCUUUGGCAAAUUGUAACCUCUUCUGCACAUGCCUUUUUUUAACAGAGGGACUUUGCGGGGGAUUCUUGAAAAUAGAUUAGCUUCACACAGACGUCUUCUAACUGUCACAGUACUUACAGGUAACUCCAGACUGUCUUUGAUCAUCCUGGAGGUGAUCAUUGGCUGAGCCUUUGCCAUUCUGGUUAUUCUUCUAUCCAUUUUGAUGGUUGUCUUCCGUUUUCUUCCACGUCUCUCUGGUUUUGCUCUCCAUUUUAAGGCAUUGGAGAUCAUUUUAGCUGAACAGCCUAUCAUUUUUUGCACCUCUUUAUAGGUUUUCCCCUCUCUAAUCAACUUUUUAAUCAAAGUACGCUGUUCUUCUGAACAAUGUCUUGAACGACCCAUUUUCCUCAGCUUUCAAAUGCAUGUUCAACAAGUGUUGGCUUCAUCCUUAAAUAGGGGCCACCUGAUUCACACCUGUUUCUUCACAAAAUUGAUGACCUCAGUGAUUGAAUGCCACACUGCUAUUUUUUUGAACACAUCCCUUUCAACUAAUUCAACUAAUUGCCCAAUUGCACAGCCUUAAGAGCGUGCAUAUCAUGAAUGCUGGGUCUCAUUUGUUUUCUGAGAAUCUACUGAACCUACUGGUAACUUGUUUGCCACGUAGCAAUAAAAAAAUAUACGAAAAACCUUGAUUAUUCUGGUUAGUCACAUUGUACUGCUAUUAUUUUGAACAAUACUGUAUGUGUUUUUACUUUUCUAUUUAGGAGAGUCAUCUGUAAUGUAAGACACCUGAAACAGUGAGAUGCAUGAAGGACAGCUAAUCAUCCUGAAGUGCCAAACCACAUGUGACCACAUGAACACCCACAUGUGCUUGAGAACCUGAGGAUGAAAGCAGUUCUCAUGGCCAGCCGGCUGCUUUUGAUAUUGAGCACAUAUUAAUAAAUUGGCUGUAAACAGUUGAAAGGGAGAGGAUGUCUUUUGUUUUUAUUGCAGUACUGGUGCAAAUGUUUGGACACAUUACUAUUUUUUUGUUUUUGAAAAAAGUAUCUUGUGCUCAUCAAGCCUCCAUUUAUUUGAUUAAAAAUACAGACAAAAUCUGUAAAAUUGUGACAUUUUAUUAAAAUGUAUUAUUUUAUAAAACUUGGCACAAACUGUAUUUUCCUUGUUGAAGAAAGUCAAUUAAUAUACAUUCUAUUUUUUGACCAUUUUUCUCUCGAAAUCAC